UAGAUUUUAAUAAAGUAUUUUGAAAAUACUUAAUAAGGCAGGUUCCUUUGUAUUAA
rnacentral:tRNA from 1 species